GUUUAGUUCCAGGUGGAUCUGGUCCAGGUGAUGUGACCUAUGCUGACAUCAACCACACAGAGAAGAGACAACACAACAGGAGGAGAGAGAAGGUCGUUCCAGACCCUGUCUACUCAGCAGUGAAGACAGACAGAGAUACAGGUCAAAAGGUCGUUCCAGACCCUGUCUACUCAGCGGUGAAGACAGACAGAGAUACAGGUCAGAAGGUCGUUCCAGACCCUGUCUACUCAGCGGUGAAGACAGAUAGACAGAGAUACAGGUAGAGCUGUAUCUGGAUCCUGGGACUGAACGUACAGACUGAGGUAGGUCCAGAUCACUGUAUCACUAACCCUAAUGUACAGACUGAGGUAGGUCCAGAUCACUGUAUCACUAACCCUAAUGUACAGACUGAGGUAGGUCCAGAUCACUGUAUCACUAACCCUAAUGUACAGACUGAGGUAGGUCCAGAUCACUGUAUCACUAACCCUAAUGUACAGGCUGAGGUAGGUCCAGAUCACUGUAUCACUAACCCUAAUGUACAGACUGAGGUAGGUCCAGAUCACUGUAUCACAAACCCUAACCCUAAUGUAAAGACUGAGGUAGGUCCAGAUCACUGUAUCACUAACCCUAAUAUAAAGACUGAGGUAGGUCCAGAUCACUGUAUCACUAACCCUAAUGUACAGACUGAGGUAGGUCCAGAUCACUGUAUCACUAACCCUAAUGUACAGACUGAGCUAACUAACUUCAACUCUAAUUUCAACACUAACCCUAACUUCAACCUUAACUACAAAAUUAAGUGUUUAUUAUCAAUGAUGUAGCAUGUUGUGUUUGUUAUGAAAUGUAGCAUGUGG